UUGGAUUUGACCGCUCAGCGGUAGGUGCAACACUCUUCUAGAUCGCUUAGCGUUGAUGCUCAAGCCCCCUACCGUAUUGAAGUAAAGUUCUCAACGCUCAAUGGUGGGUUCUGGCACUCAGUGGUGGCGACGGUUCUUCUUUCACCCCCUCAGCGCUGGCACUUAAGCGUUCUGCCGUAUUGAAGUCUGCUAUGUUGAUGCUCAGCGUUGGAAUUGGUGUUGAGCAGUGGGAGUGAUUCCUUUUUUGCGCCUUUCUUCAUUCCUUCUUGAGUCCAACUUCUUCCUAUUUCACUUUCCAUCCUUAAAUUCUCAUUAAAGCCUGUCAAAACAAUGUAAAAACAAGCAUAGUAUCUCUAAAACCAACUUUGACUCUCUUGUGACCUAACUUAAGUGUUUUGAUGAUUUUAAGCUCAUUCUAAGUCAUAAAGGGUGUG
rnacentral:lncRNA from 1 species